rnacentral:lncRNA from 1 species
AGACGCUGAGCGCUGAAAUUCUCAUCCGCCACACACAACAUGGCGGCUUCCUGGACCCGCGCCCAAUUAUCGCUUCCGGGAUGGAAGCUACGUCAUUUCUCUCUCUGUUGCUCUAGCGCCCCUUGGAAGCCAAGAAUGUGAGGAAGUCUUCUUCCUUCGCGCCUCUUCUUCCUUCUUCUUGCUUCCGCUCCAGGGCAGCCUGACAGAGCCGCUCUAAGGCUCUGCUGGCCGCGGCUAGCCGAUUUUCCCCUUCGCCGAUCAGCAGUUGCAAAAAGUCCUCCAAGAAAAGUCAGGAUGCCAGAAAGCCAUACCUGAGGGAGGCAGAAUUGCAUGGCGGUGGGCUACACGGGCUCCAGAGUUGGCCAAUGUGUGGCCUCUAACAAGUAUCUUGCCUCCUCUAUGCCUCAGUUUCCUUCUCUGUAAAGUGUGGGUGAUGAUGUUUACUUUUUAGUUGUCAGGAAGGUGAGGGAUGAUGAUGCUUAGCACAGUGUCUGGCACUUUACAGCAAGCGCCACGAUCCACUGUUGUCAUCGGGACUUUUGUCAUUCUCAGUUCUGCCACAUGUUUGCCCUGGGUCCUUGAGCAAAUUGGCUCCUUUCUGUGGCCCCCUUGUU